rnacentral:lncRNA from 1 species
UCCUUUAGCUGACAUAUUUGUAGAUAAUUGUUAAAACAUAUGAGGCAAGUAGAUAAUCAAAUAAAGUGAAUUUGUAAGACACUUUCUUUUCAUAAACAAAGUGAAUCUAUUAUUCUUUUUGCACGCACAGAGAAGGAACUCAUGCGCACAACGCACAAGAAGGAGUCAUGCAAACAUGAGUAGAGUCGUGCACACGGAAGUGUAAACAUGCACGCGUAUAGCAAUUCACACAUGUAGAAGCUUUUCUGUGCAUGGGAAGCAUGUAGCAUGGUGGGUAGAGGUCUUGAUACUGAGAUGGACUCUACUUUCUCCAUGUGGUUUAAUUCCAAAAUAACAUGGGAUAUUA